rnacentral:rRNA from 1 species
AUUGAACGCUGGCGGCAGGCCUAACACAUGCAAGUCGAGCGAGCGGCGGACGGGUGAGUACUGUCUGGGAAACUGCCUGAUGGAGGGGGAUAACUACAGGAAACGGUAGCUAAUACCGCAUACCAUCAGAUCUGCCCAGGUGGGAUUAGCUAGUAGGUUGGGUAACGGCUUACCAAGGCGACGAUCCCUAGCGGGUCUGAGAGGAUGACCAGUCACACUGGAACUGAGACACGGUCCAGACUCCUACGGGAGGCAGCAGUGGGGAAUAUUGCACAAUGGGCGCAAGCCUGAUGCAGCCAUGCCGCGUGUGUGAAGAAGGCCUUCGGGUUGUAAAGCACUUUCAGCGGGGAGGCGUUACCAGCAGAAGAAGCACCGGCUAACUCCGUGCCAGCAGCCGCGGUAAUAC